UAGUGAUCUUAUCCUUCCACUCUCAAUUUUUAUUUUUUUUCUUUUAUAAUUUCAUAGAAAGAAGUUAAAUGCAUUAAUAUAUUCCUUCCUCCAAAACCCAGCAAUUCUAUAUAUAUUAACUCAAAAAACUUUGAAGUUUUUACUUGUAAAUCAUAGCCCUCUUCAUCUUCUUCUUGAUAUAUUAACUCAAGAAACUUUGAAGAACAGAAGAAGCUAUCUGCAGUUUCUUGAUUUCUUUUUUUACUAGUUAUAACCUUCUUUAUCUUCUUCUUUGAAGCAUUGGGUCAUGGCUGAAAACCUAAGAAUCGUAGUUGAAAAGAAUCCCUCAGAGUCCAAACUCAAUGAAUUAAACAUCAAGUGCUGGCCCAAAUGGGGUUGCUCUCCAGGAAGAUAUCAGCUAAAAUUUGAAGCAGAAGAGACAUGCUAUCUGUUGAAAGGGAAGGUGAAAGUAUACCCAAAAGGGUCAUCAGAAAUUGUGGAGUUUGGUGCAGGAGAUCUUGUCACCAUACCUAAAGGACUCAGUUGCACUUGGGAUGUUUCUGUUGCUGUCGAUAAAUACUACAAAUUUGAGUCAUCU
rnacentral:misc_RNA from 1 species